GAUUCUGGCUCAGGACGAACGCUGGCGGCGUGCUUAACACAUGCAAGUCGAGCGAUGAAGCUCCUUCGGGAGUGGAUUAGCGGCGGACGGGUGAGUAACACGUGGGUAACCUGCCUCAUAGAGGGGAAUAGCCUUUCGAAAGGAAGAUUAAUACCGCAUAAGAUUGUAGUACCGCAUGGUACAGCAAUUAAAGGAGUAAUCCGCUAUGAGAUGGACCCGCGUCGCAUUAGCUAGUUGGUGAGGUAACGGCUCACCAAGGCGACGAUGCGUAGCCGACCUGAGAGGGUGAUCGGCCACAUUGGGACUGAGACACGGCCCAGACUCCUACGGGAGGCAGCAGUGGGGAAUAUUGCACAAUGGGGGGAACCCUGAUGCAGCCAACGCCGCGUGAGUGAUGACGGUCCUCGGAUUGUAAAGCUCUGUCUUUAGGGACGAUAAUGACGGUACCUAAGGAGGAAGCCACGGCUAACUACGUGCCAGCAGCAGC
rnacentral:rRNA from 1 species